rnacentral:rRNA from 1 species
GACAGAGGAUGCGAACGUUGCUCGGAAUUACUGGGCGUAAAGCGCGCGCAGGUUGCCUUGUAAGUCGUGUGUGAAAUCCCUCUGCUCAACGGAGGAAGUGCACGGGAUACUGCAAGGCUGGAGUACAGAAGAGGACAGCGGAAUUCCCGGUGUAGAGGUGAAAUUCGUAGAUAUCGGGAGGAACACCAGUGGCGAAGGCGGCUGUCUGGGCUGAUACUGACACUGAGGCGCGAAAGCGUGGGAAGCAAACAGG